AUACGGAGGGGGCAAGCGUUAUUGGGAAUUAUUGGGCGUAAAGGGCGCGUAGGCGGCCUGACAAGUCAAAGGUGAAAUCCCUCGGCCUAACCGAGGAACUGCCUUUGAAACUGAAGGUCUAGAGACCGAGAGAGGAUAGCGGAAUUCCCAGUGUAGAGGUGAAAUCUGUAGAUAUCAGGAGGAACACCAGUGGCGAAAGCGGCUCACUGGACCAUUUCUGACGCUGAGGUGCGAAAGCUAGGGGAGCGAACGGGAUUAGAAACCCCAGUAGUCC
rnacentral:rRNA from 1 species